UCGCCCGGCUUUACCCCGGUGUUAUCUCGAGUUACUUCUUUCACGUAAAGACGACACCCAAGAACGAUUCCGAAAUCUGUAGAAAAAUAUAUUUAGAUCGAUCGAUAAACGAAAGUUUACAGAAAUGAAGUAUUCGACGAAGCUCUACGCUUAACGACUAAAAGAACCGUCGAUCCGGAAUCCCUGAGAACACGAAUCGCUGCUCCAUAAUCGGCGCCCUCUAACGAUAUUCCAUUGGCAGAUAUUAUGCGAUCAUUUACUCUAGAAAAUGAUAAUUUCGCGUAUUGGCAUUACAAUAAAUAUUUGUAAUUUCUA